rnacentral:rRNA from 1 species
AGAGUUUGAUCCUGGCUCAGGAUGAACGCUGGCGGCGUGCAUAACACAUUCAAGUCGAACGGAGAGGAGGACUUCGGUCCUCUGAUCAGUGGCGGACGGGUGAGUAACGCGUGAGCAACCUGCCCCGGACUCAGGGAUAACACAGGGAAACUUGUGCUAAUACCGGAUAACGUAUACGGACUGCAUGGUUCGUAUACCAAAGCUGAGGCGGUACGGGAUGGGCUCGCGUAUGAUUAGAUAGUUGGCAGGGUAACGGCCUACCAAGUCUGCGAUCAUUAGCCGAACUGAGAGGUUGAACGGCCACAUUGGAACUGAGAAACGGUCCAGACUCCUACGGGAGGCAGCAGUGGGGAAUAUUGGGCAAUGGGCGAAAGCCUGACCCAGCGACGCCGCGUGAGGGAAGAAGGUCUUCGGAUUGUAAACCUCUUUCAGCAGGGAAGAAGCAAGUGACGGUACCUGCAGAAGAAGUCACGGCUAACUACGUGCCAGCAGCCGCGGUAAUACGUAGGUGGCAAGCGUUAUCCGGAUUUACUGGGUGUAAAGGGCGUGUAGGCGGGACUGCAAGUCAGAUGUGAAAACCACGGGCUCAACCUGUGGCCUGCAUUUGAAACUGUAGUUCUUGAGUGCUGGAGAGGCAAUCGGAAUUCCGUGUGUAGCGGUGAAAUGCGUAGAUAUACGGAGGAACACCAGUGGCGAAGGCGGAUUGCUGGACAGUAACUGACGCUGAGGCGCGAAAGCGUGGGGAGCAAACAGGAUUAGAUACCCUGGUAGUCCACGCUGUAAACGAUGGAUACUAGGUGUGGGGGGUCUGACCCCCUCCGUGCCGCAGUUAACACAAUAAGUAUCCCACCUGGGGAGUACGCCGGCAACGGUGAAACUCAAAGGAAUUGACGGGGGCCCGCACAAGCGGAGGAACAUGUGGUUUAAUUCGAUGAUACGCGAGGAACCUUACCCGGGCUUGAACUGCUGAGGACGGGCCGAGAGAUCGGCCUUCCCUUCGGGGUCUCAGUGGAGGUGCUGCAUGGUUGUCGUCAGCUCGUGCCGUGAGGUGUCGGCUUAAGUGCCAUAACGAGCGCAACCCUUUCCGUCAGUUGCCAUCAGGUAAUGCUGGGGACUCUGUCGGUACUGCCAUCGUAAGAUGUGAGGAAGGUGGGGAUGACGUCAAAUCAGCACGGCCCUUACGUCCGGGGCUACACACGUGUUACAAUGGGAGGUACAGAAGGCCGCUACCCGGCGACGGGGCGCCAAUCCCCAAAACCUCUCUCAGUUCGGACUGGAGUCUGCAACCCGACUCCACGAAGCUGGAUUCGCUAGUAAUCGCGCAUCAGCCAUGGCGCGGUGAAUACGUUCCCGGGCCUUGCACUCACAAGCCGUCA